AUUGAACGCUGGCGGAAUGCUUUACACAUGCAAGUCGAACGGCAGCACGGGAGCUUACUCCUGGUGGCGAGUGGCGGACGGGUGAGUAAUAUAUCGGAACGUAUCCAAUAAUGGGGGAUAACUAGUCGAAAGAUUAGCUAAUACCGCAUACGCCCUGAGGGGGAAAGCUAGGGACCGCAAGGCCUGGCGUUAAUGGAGCGGCCGAUAGCUGAUUAGCUAGUUGGUGAGGUAAAGGCUCACCAAGGCGACGAUCAGUAGCUGGUCUGAGAGGACGACCAGCCACACUGGAACUGGGACACGGGCCGGACUCCUACGGGAGGCAGCAGUGGGGAAUUUUGGACAAUGGGCGCAAGCCUGAUCCAGCCAGUCCGCGUGAGUGAAGAAGGCCUUCGGGUUGUAAAGCUCUUUCGCAAGGGAAGAAAACUUACCCUCUAACAUAGGGUGAGGCUGACGGUACCUUGAUAAGAAGCACCGGCUAACUACGUGCCAGCCGCCGCAGUAA
rnacentral:rRNA from 1 species